rnacentral:lncRNA from 1 species
AUGAAGAAAAAGACCCAGACCAAAGAGAAGAAAGCAGGGAAGCAGCUGAGCGACGUGGAGGAGGAAGGGUCAGACCUGGAGGUGGUUGGAGAGGGGGUCGGGGAGGGAGAGAAGGAGAAUGAGGACAUCUCUAACGAAGGGGCCCCACCUGCCCCCAAUCCCCCCAAGAGGAAGCGCAAAAGGACAGCUGGGGCAGAGUCCUCCCCCGAUAAAGCCAAGGGCAGAAAGAAAAAGAAAAGCAAACUAAUAAUAAGUGAUGAAGAAGAGACCGGUCUGCCUGAAGAGUCUGAUGCUGGGGUUCCAGAAGGUCAAGUGCCGGAAGAUGAUUCAACUGCUCACAGUUUAAAGCAGGCAGAAGAGCCAGUGGAAGGAGCCAAGGGACUGGGGGUGAUCAAACCAGCCAAGCUCUCCCGAGGUCAACCCCAGAGACCCCCACUUAACCUGGGUAGGAAGGGGGGGAAGUGUGGCCCAGGGCCCACGGCCAAGCCUUCUAAUAAGGAGGGGGCUUCGCAUGUGGAGGAGAUCACAGAACAAGGGCUUCCUAUAGAACAGGUUAAUGAAGAUGCCUCUAAGCCUAAAAGUGAGAAAAAGAAGGCUUGUGAACUCUCUUCAUCUGAUGAAGAAGAAGAAGCCAAUGAUAAACCCGUCAAGCCAACCAGGUAUGGCAGAAUUCCCAAAAAGACCAAGUUCAUGAAUUUCCCAGGGAAUGAGGAUGGGAACUUGACCUCCGACUCUCCCGCUGCACCUGUCAUGGACGAAUCCCCCUCCACAUCCUCUUCCACCAACCCCAAAGCCAAACCACCAACCAGAAGGGCCAAAAUCAAGCCUGGCCCCGCCCUGCCUGGUAGGAAGGGCCAAUUGGCAGCUAUGAAAUCCAAGCUGGUCACCCUCAGGGCAUCCCAGUCUGAAGAUGAUGAUGAUGAUGAUGAGGGCAGUGGAGGACAGAGAGAGGAGGCACUGAUCGAGGAGGACCUCCACACUCUCACCUACCCAGAAGAGCAGAACCAGGCUCCGGCAUUUGUUCCCAUGAGCCUCCGCUCUCCACAGCCCAUCAUCACAGAGGUUGAGGAGACCAUGGAGGAGUUCGAUAUCUCCGUCAACGUGCCUGAUGUCCUGGGUAUUUCCCAUGAUGCAUUCUGCCCUGACUCGUCAUGCGAGCGGGGUCAGGGGGGUGAAGUGGGCACAGUGCCCUGUGAACAUCAGUUGGACUUGUUAGUAGAUGUCAUUGACUUCCUGUCUCCAGAUAACAUGGACGUAUCUGAAGAGAGCUACAAUGACGCAGCUAGAACCUUACUGGCCAUCGGCAACCUCAGCUACGUGUCCCAGGCUGAGACAUCCACUGGAGCAGCAGAGGAUUUCAUCACGGAAGAAUGUUCCAAUAAGGACCAACUCCUCCAGGUAGUCACUGAGGCUUCACAAACUGCUGAGGAUACUGUCCCUGUUGCCCCAGCAACAUCCCCUAUCGCUGUCACCACCACAAGCAAAACAGCAUCUCCUCCAGUCACCACGACAACAGCGUCUCCUCCAGUCACCACGACAACAGCGUCUCCUCCAGUCACCACGACAACAGCGUCUCCUCCAGUCACCACGACAACAGCGUCUCCUCCAGUCACCACGACAACAGCGUCUCCUCCAGUCACCACGACAACAGCGUCUCCUCCAGUCACCACGACAACAGCGUCUCCUCCAGUCACCACGACAACAGCGUCUCCUCUAGUCACCACGACAACAGCCUUUGUCCCCGUGUCUCAGAUUAGUGGAAUGCCUCCUGUAGAAGCACUACCCAAAGAGGAGACUCUCCAGCAGGGGGAGUUUUGUUCAGAAGAAGCAGAGGUCUCAGAGAAACCGUUGUCCCCAAAAACCAGGAGAAGCCGCUUCCCUAAGGUUAAACCCAAUCUUUGUCGGACUGCCAGAUCAACUCAACCCAAACGUAAACUGUCUACAGAAAAUACAUCUCCACAGGCCGAAUCACCAAAACCUGAAGAAGAUACUACCCUGCAACCAAAACCACAACCUGGAGAAAUUAUUACCAUAAAGCCAGAACUACCACAACCCCCCAAACAUUCUACAGAAAGUCAUACCAUACAGCCAGAACUACCACAACCCCCAAAAAAUACUACAGAAAGUCAUACCGUACAGCCAGAAUUUCCACAACCCCCCCAAAAUACUACAGAAAGUCAUACCGUACAGCCAGAACUACCACAAACCCCCCAAAAUAAUACAGAAGGUCAUACCAUACAGCCAGAACUACCCCAGGCUGUGGAUGAUACUACCACACAGCCAGAACAACUACAACCAAGAGAAAACAUUAAGAUUCUACCCAAAACACAUCAGACCAGCACCACACUUUCAGACCCACCACCAGCCGUUAAUGUCACCAGAGAAGCAACACCGCCUACCAACAAUCUUACCAGGCAAUCAGAAGGCCAGACCCGACUAAGAACUACCUCGCAUUCAAAAAUGCAGCCCACCACAAAUAACAUCCCCCACUCAGAACCACUGCCCAUUCAGAGGACCAGAAUUGCCCGUUCCAAGCGGCAGUCCUCAUUGAAUGAACCAACCCCACCCACACUUAAUUCCCCCACAAACAAAUGUCCUAAACCACAAUCCACAGAAAGUACAACCAUACUCCCAGAAUCCGGCCCAAGCCCAGAGCAGAACAGUCCAGGUACAUGUAGAACCAGAGCCCCUGACCCAGAGUUCUCUCUGCAGUCAUCUGAAGACGUAAAAGGUGACAGUGACGUUAAGGAAAUUACUUCCUCGUCCCUCAGUGCUGAAGGUUCCCUAUCAGGGACAUCAGACCCAAAACAGCCAAAGCAGACUGGUCCACCAACCCGCAGGGCCCGUUUGCCUAAACCCAAACCCAACCUGGGUCACCCCACCAGAGGCACAACACGUUCUGCAGCCCAGGUAUCAGAAAGCAGUAACAAACCUGAUGUCCAGACACCAUCUGUUGAGGCUACCAGCCCCUGUCAGGAAGUUCAGACACCAUCUGUUGAGGCUACCAGCCCCUGUCAGGAAGUUCAAAGGCAAGAAACUGUCCAAACACCAGAGAAAGCUGAUGUCGUUUCCAUGGAUAUACAACAAAUUCAUCAUGUCAUCCCCUUUUCGGACAUCAUCGAUACGACCCAGGGGAAUACAUCUGUCUUCACCGAGGAGCAUUUCUUCACCCCACAAAGCGUUGCCGUCAACACCCAGAACUCGGAAAGUUUGGUCUCAUCUGUUGUGUUCAACCUGGACCAGGACCAGCAAGAUCCCGACGAGCCCAUCUUCAUCCUCUCCCUGACCGAAAUCCCAGUCCACCCUACAGGGGAGGAGUACACCCUCUCUGAGGCCUUCUCUUUUCAACCGGCUGAGGGCGCUUGCAUUCAACUGCAGCAAAGCAGUGACAGUGUUGCCCCUGGAGGUGGUUUGGGGAAAGGGGAUGCUGGCGUCCUCCAUAGUGUCCCUGAGUCUGUGCCAGUGGACCUGAUCGUCCCUCAACCUUCCCACACCCCUGUCAGCGAAGCGGAAUGUGACUCCACGGCUAGCCCAGAAGGUGUGGGCGUCUCAGCCAAUCCCUCGGGGGACCCCACAGCCGGCGCUGAGUCCGACGAGGACGUGGCUCCUCCGACUGAGAAGACAGAAGUGCCAGAGAGAGCCAGGAGAGGCAAACUGCUGGUGAGACCUACCUGCCCACGAAGGCUCACUCGUUCAGCCGUCACCGAGGAAGCAGUGUCCAACCUCCCCCCAGGCCGAGCCCCCUCCGCUGACCACCCUCCAGCCUCGCCACAACCCUCCGUCACCAGGCCGGCAUUGGGAGACGCGGGGGCCGAUGAGUCGCAGCAGAGAGUACUGGGCCAUUUAAACCUCCCAGAGACAGAAGACGCUGGUGGGAAGGACCGUAGUUUGGGGGCGGAGAUUCAGGCUGCCCAAUCAAUUACACCACUGGUUACGACAAGUCCAUUGAGCAGGCCUGGUAGGAGACCCAGAGGAUUCCUGUCGUUCAUGUCCAAUAAGCCCCUCACACCUGCCUCCUCUGCCCCUGCUCGAGGUCCCAGAGCAGCCGCUCAGAGGCCCCAGGUCAACACCAACCGCACUGGGGGGAAACGGGCUGACUCCGCUCCCUCCUCCGUCAGAGCUAUGCCUGCACGUUUCACCAGCCCCACUAGAACCACCAUUAAGCCUGACGGUUCCCCGACGGUGACCUGGGGAAAACCCUCUGAUGUUCAAACCACCGAAUCAGACCCAGAGCCCAGUACCUCCCAGGGUACAGCUUCCCAGCCUUCUCAGGGGCCAGAUGGCCAGCCCAGUGCCUCUCCCUGUGUGGACAGCUACUCAACAGACGAGGAACCCAUCAACGUGUCCCAGUACUUUUUCAGUGACAUCUUCACUGAGGUUGAGGAGAAUGAGGGGUGACCGGAAAGAUAACAAGGCAUCUUUUAAUUCAUUGAACCGAGCUGAAGAACAAACUGCUAAAAAGUACUUGAAGAUUUUUGGAUGUAGCACUAAAAUCACAUCGCUUUGUGGUUAUGCUAACAAGGUUUCUGGUUUGCGGUGAAUAUAUUUGGCCACUAGAUGGCCACAAAACAGAACUUAAGACGAUUAUUUCAGAAGAAAACACUUUUUUUGUCCUGCUUAGGAACUUUGCUCUAAUUUGUGCACCUUUGCUAUAAUAAUAUCUUGAAUCAUAUUCAGACAACUUUGUAUCCUAAUAACAUAUUUAUAUUUAUUUGGUUUUAUUUCUUUUAAACCACUUAGGUAGACAUGAACAAUUCAAACUCACUUCUAUAGCACUCGCCAGUUUUGCAGUUUGCUCAGGGACUUUCAAAUUCAUAUUUGAGUUCUUUUUUUAUAGGUUUGCUGUUAGUCACAUGAUCACGCCAUUGAAUUUGCCAAGUUUCUCCAAAAACAAACAGGCUUUAAGUUAUCUCACUGGUUCUAAAAUUGAUCUCAACCUUUCUCAGACAAACUGCAUCACCGCCAAUCACAAUCCAAAUCAAAAUAAUUCAUCACUGAUCGCAAUCUCAGUUUUAAUAGGCUAGAAUAGGUUGUCACUCUUAGUGUCUGCUAAACCAAUAAUUUGUAAGGAGGGACUUUCCAGGUGGAAAGAGAUUACAGAUGAUCAUGUGACUGGAGUGCUCUGUUAAAGCAUGUUUACAUUUACAUAUGAAGCCCUUGUCUUACAGUGAACAUUGUGUAAAUAUGUUAAUUAUAAUUUAGAUCAGAUAUAUUGCAGGGGGGAUUUUGGUGCAUGAAAAAGACUUGUUGUGCAGCUUCACAAUGUUUAUUAAAUGCUGCCUGAUGACACUGUUUACAGAGUCCUCAUUUAAUCAAUGUACCGCUACAACAAAUGCACUAGUCCAUUUUCAGUUCUCAAAUUUUUUGUUUUCAAAUUAGCAUAGCUGUUAUGUUGCUAAUGUAAAAUAUGUGAAUAAAGUUGUGUAUGUGAAUGUCUGCUUUAUGUUGAAUGCCUUGCUUAAACAGUUGUUAAAGAAACAAGAAUGCCUUAUUGGUAAGUACAAAUGAAAGCACAAUUAAAGCCGUUUUAAACAUUGGUCUUUGGUCUGUUGGCCACUAGGAGGCUGUCAAGUGCUUUUUGCGCACCACCUAUGCCGCAGAACCAAAACCAGCAGAAUAAACUAAGUUAUCAUUUUUAAAUAGAGCAUGAGAGAACGUCACCUUCAUUGGUCUGAGCAGUAAAUAAAGAGCCCAUCUCUAAAGCUUUGAACGUGCAAUGCAAAUCAGCAUUCCUAUAGUUCUUGCUGUGUGUCUGUGUGUGAGUUCGUAGAGGGGACGGGGGAGGAAUGUGCAGAUGUUCCAUUCCCAAACAGCAUAAAGAGGCAGGGAAAUAGUUUUGUGUUUCUAAUGUUUCUGAUAGUCAAGUUGCUGUGACUCACAGCUUACCCACUCCACCCUCUCACAGGCUGUCAUGCUGUAUUUUUCUGUUGAUUUAAAUUGAGUGGGGAUGUACAGUAAUUCAUAUACUCUGCUAUUAAUCAGGGUGACUCAACAGUUUCCAUUCUGUGUACAAGAGCAGAAGAACACUGCAUGUUCACCUGCCGUGCAAUUUAAACCAGUAAUAUACUGUAUCACUAACAGCUGUUGUUAAGACCAUGCAAAUGGUGAUGUGUUUGUGUGUGGAUUCAUUUUCCAAAAUAAUUGCAUUACACCCACCCAAGAGCAUAUGGUAAUUGUGGUGUGAUUAGUGGUGAU